rnacentral:rRNA from 1 species
UGCAAGUCGAACGCGAAAGUCCCGCAAGGGAUCAGUAGAGUGGCAAACGGGUGAGUAACGCGUGGGUGACCUGCCUUCGAGUGGGGGAUAACGUUCCGAAAGGGACGCUAAUACCGCAUGACAUCCUGUCUUUGAACAGAUGGAGAUCAAAGCUGCGGAUCGCAAGACGUAGCACUCGAAGAGGGGCCCGCGUCCGAUUAGCUAGUUGGUGGGGUAACGGCUCACCAAGGCAACGAUCGGUAGCCGGCCUGGGAGGGCGGACGGCCACACUGGGACUGAGACACGGCCCAGACUCCUACGGGAGGCAGCAGUGGGGAAUUGUUCGCAAUGGGCGCAAGCCUGACGACGCAACGCCGCGUGGAGGAUGAAGAUCUUCGGGUCGUAAACUCCUUUCGAUCGAGACGAAUUCCCCUGGGGUGAACAAUCCCGGGGGUUGACGGUACCGAGAGAAGAAGCCCCGGCUAACUCCGUGCCAGCAGCCGCGGUAAUACGGGGGGGGCAAGCGUUGUUCGGAAUUACUGGGCGUAAAGGGCUCGUAGGCGGCCAACUAAGUCAGACGUGAAAUCCCUCGGCUUAACCGGGGAACUGCGUCUGAUACUGGAUGGCUUGAGUGUGGGAGAGGGAUGCGGAAUUCCAGGUGUAGCGGUGAAAUGCGUAGAUAUCUGGAGGAACACCGGUGGCGAAGGCGGCAUCCUGGACUACUACUGACGCUGAGGAGCGAAAGCCAGGGGAGCAAACGGGAUUAGAUACCCCGGUAGUCCUGGCCCUAUACGAUGAACGCUUGGUGUGACGGGUAUCGAUCCCUGUCGUGCCGAAGCUAACGCAUUAAGCAUUCGCUGGGGAGUAC